UGGAUCUUGUAGUUAACAUGACUUCAAAGGCACUAGGGCUUCAAAGUGGCAUUUAAAUUUAAGAAUAGUCAAAGGUCUCUGUGGAGAUAAAUGAGAUAAAAUACAAAGGCAUCCUGAAAAAUGGUGGUACCUGCUCAAGUAAUAUUAGCUACUAUCCCUAUUUGAGCAAGAACAUUGUAAUGGCACCUAGAAAAAUGUUUUGUCGUCAAAUCACUGAGGUCAGCCAAUAAGGUAUCUUUUGGGCCUGAAAAGUUCUUGUCAUGACUCUCAUGAAUUGCAGAAAAGUAUACCCUCUUUGGUCAGAGUGCCUGGAUUUAAAUCCUGUAUCUGCCACUUACUAGCUUGUGAUUCUGGGCAAGUUGCUUAAUGUCUCUGUAUUUCUGUUUGCUCACUUAUAUAAUUUGUGUAAUAAUAGUACUCUCAUUGGUUGUUAUGAAGAUAAAAUAAGUUAAU
rnacentral:lncRNA from 1 species